CUUGUCUCAUAGCGUCUGGCUUAGAUCAACUGCGGUGAUGGUUCUUCUCACUCCUGACCGGGUGAUACCCACUCAUGAGUGGUUUCUCUCCUCGUAAAGUUUGGAACUCGUCCGAGGACCGCUGGGCUUGCCAAUGUCAUGGGCACCGUGUCGCUGGUAUUGCACCGCCUCCAGCUGACGCAAACCAUC
rnacentral:snRNA from 1 species